rnacentral:rRNA from 1 species
CAGCAGCCGCGGUAAUACGGAGGGUGCAAGCGUUAAUCGGAAUUACUGGGCGUAAAGCGUGCGUAGGCGGUUCGUUAAGUCUGUUGUGAAAGCCCCGGGCUCAACUUGGGAAUGGCAAUGGAUACUGGCGAGCUAGAGUGUGUCAGAGGAUGGUGGAAUUCCCGGUGUAGCGGUGAAAUGCGUAGAGAUUGGGAGGAACAUCAGUGGCGAAGACGGCCAUCUGGGACAACACUGACGCUGAGGCACGAAAGCGUGGGGAGCAAACAGGAUUAGAUACCCCAGUAGUCCCUGUCUCUUAUAC